rnacentral:rRNA from 1 species
GAUGAACGCUGGCGGCGUGCCUAAUACAUGCAAGUCGAGCGAACGGACGAGAAGCUUGCUUCUCUGAUGUUAGCGGCGGACGGGAGAGUAACACGUGGAUAACCUACCUAUAAGACUGGGAUAACUUCGGGAAACCGGAGCUAAUACCGGAUAAUAUUUUGAACCGCAUGGUUCAAAAGUGAAAGACGGUCUUGCUGUCACUUAUAGAUGGAUCCGCGCUGCAUUAGCUAGUUGGUAAGGUAACGGCUUACCAAGGCAACGAUGCAUAGCCGACCUGAGAGGGUGAUCGGCCACACUGGAACUGAGACACGGUCCAGACUCCUACGGGAGGCAGCAGUAGGGAAUCUUCCGCAAAGGGCGAAAGCCUGACGGAGCAACGCCGCGUGAGUGAUGAAGGUCUUCGGAUCGUAAAACUCUGUUAUUAGGGAAGAACAUAUGUGUAAGUAACUGUGCACAUCUUGACGGUACCUAAUCAGAAAGCCACGGCUAACUACGUG